CGGGGUGAGUAAUGUCUGGGAAACUGCCUGAUGGAGGGGGAUAACUACUGGAAACGGUAGCUAAUACCGCAUAACGUCGCGAGACCAAAGUGGGGGACCUUCGGGCCUCAUGCCAUAAGAUGUGCCCAGAUGGGAUUAGCUAGUAGGUGGGGUAACGGCUCACCUAGGCGACGAUCCCUAGCUGGUCUGAGAGGAUGACCAGCCACACUGGAACUGAGACACGGUCCAG
rnacentral:rRNA from 1 species